GCGGAUGUAGUUUAAUGGUAGAACUUCAGCUUCCCAAGCUGAUAACGCGGGUUCGAUUCCCGUCGUCCGCU
rnacentral:tRNA from 1 species